rnacentral:rRNA from 1 species
UGACGGUACCUGACGAGAAAGCCACGGCUAACUACGUGCCAGCAGCCGCGGUAAUACGUAGGUGGCAAGCGUUGUCCGGAUUUAUUGGGCGUAAAGCGCGCGCAGGCGGCUAUGUAAGUCUGGUGUUAAAGCCCGGGGCUCAACCCCGGUUCGCAUCGGAAACUGUGUAGCUUGAGUGCAGAAGAGGAAAGCGGUAUUCCACGUGUAGCGGUGAAAUGCGUAGAGAUGUGGAGGAACACCAGUGGCGAAGGCGGCUUUCUGGUCUGUAACGACGCUGAGCGCGAAAGCGGGGAGCAAACAGGAUUAGAUACCCUGGUAGUCCACGCCGUAAACGAUGAGUGCUAGGUGUUGGGGGUUUCAAUACCCUCAGUGCCGACCGCUCUGGAGACAGAGCUUCCCUUCGGGGCAGCGGUGACAGGUGGUGCAUGGUUGUCGUCAGCUCGUGUCGUGAGAUGUUGGGUUAAGUCCCGCAACGAGCGCAACCCUUAUCUUUAGUUGCC